GCCAAGGUAAACUAAAUAGGUUAUCGGGUUCAUACCCCGGGUGAAGAGGUAUAACCUCUUCUUGGUU
rnacentral:tRNA from 1 species